rnacentral:pre_miRNA from 1 species
CACGUACUCCCUCCAUCCAUAAAUACAUGUCGGAGAAAUGGAAGUAUCUAGACAUAUUUUAGUUCGAGAUACAUCCAUUUUUAUCCAUUUCUCCGACAAGUAUUUUCAACGAAGGGAGUAGUAA